GACGAACGCUGGCGGCGUGCUUAACACAUGCAAGUCGAACGGAAAGGCCCUGCUUGCAGGGUACUCGAGUGGCGAACGGGUGAGUAACACGUGGGUGAUCUGCCCUGCACUUCGGGAUAAGCUUGGGAAACUGGGUCUAAUACCGGAUAGGAGCCAUCUUUAGUGUGGUGGUUGGAAAGUUUUUUCGGUGUGGGAUGAGCUCGCGGCCUAUCGGCUUGUUGGUGGGGUAAUGGCCUACCAAGGCGGCGACGGGUAGCCGGCCUGAGAGGGUGUACGGCCACAUUGGGACUGAGAUACGGCCCAGACUCCUACGGGAGGCAGCAGUGGGGAAUAUUGCACAAUGGGCGCAAGCCUGAUGCAGCGACGCCGCGUGGGGGAUGAAGGCCUUCGGGUUGUAAACUCCUUUCGCUAGGGACGAAGCUUUUUUGUGACGGUACCUAGAUAAGAAGCACCGGCUAACUACGUG
rnacentral:rRNA from 1 species